GACGAACGCUGGCGGCGUGCUUAACACAUGCAAGUCGAGCGGAAAGGCCCUUUCGGGGGUACUCGAGCGGCGAACGGGUGAGUAACACGUGAGUAAUCUGCCCUUGGCUUUGGGAUAGCUUCGGGAAACCGAAAUUAAUACCGGAUAUGACCGCCUUCCGCAUGGGAUGGUGGUGGAAAGUUUUUUCGGCCAGGGAUGUGCUCGCGGCCUAUCAGCUUGUUGGUGGGGUAAUGGCCUACCAAGGCUUCGACGGGUAGCCGGCCUGAGAGGGUGACCGGCCACACUGGGACUGAGACACGGCCCAGACUCCUACGGGAGGCAGCAGUGGGGAAUAUUGGACAAUGGGCGGAAGCCUGAUCCAGCAACGCCGCGUGAGGGAUGACGGCCUUCGGGUUGUAAACCUCUUUCACCACCGACGAAGCGCAAGUGACGGUAGGUGGGGAAGAAGCACCGGCCAACUACGUGCCAGCCGCCGCCGUAACAC
rnacentral:rRNA from 1 species